UACGUAGGGGGCUAGCGUUGUCCGGAUUUAUUGGGCGUAAAGAGCGUGUAGGCGGCCAGGUAGGUCUGCUGUGAAAACUCGAGGCUUAACCUCGAGAUGUCGGCGGAAACCAUCUGGCUAGAGUCCGGAAGAGGAGAGUGGAAUUCCUGGUGUAGCGGUGAAAUGCGCAGAUAUCAGGAAGAACACCCGUGGCGAAGGCGGCUCACUGGCCCGGUACUGACGCUGAGGUGCGAAAGCGUGGGGAGCAAACAGG
rnacentral:rRNA from 1 species